rnacentral:lncRNA from 1 species
AUGCUGUCGAUUAUUGACCACAGGAAGCACCUGAAGGACAACGUUAAAGACAGUCAAACUUCCUCUGAGGAGAUGGACAGAAACGAGGAACUGGACAAAUUGUUUCAGAGGUUACGCGUAUUUAAACACUACAGAGCAGACAGACUGAGCAGCUGUGAUGAAAGGCAAAGAUUGACAAAGCUGGCAAUGAGAAGCUGCACAGAUGAAGUCGUCCUGCAGUGGCUGAGAAAAAACUCAGAGUCUGACGCCUUCAGCAAACUCACAGACAUGUUUGACUUCCUGAAGAAACACAUUGAUGAGGAGGAGAAGAAGAACCACAGUGAUUAUGUUCACAUCAGCUUUGUGGCUCAUGGAGCAAUCAGAGACUUCAUGAUCCCAGCCAGCUGUUACCUGCCUCUGCCCACCAUCACUGACGUGCUCCUGUAUUCUCCCUGGAACUGCAUCAGUGCUGGUUUAGCGUACGGUAUCGUUACAGGAAAACUGAGGCCUCAGCACAGAGUUUUUUACUGCAACGAUAAAGAAAGCUGUACCAUUCCUGAUGACAAACAUCGACCUGUGAACCUGCCAGAUCACUGGAACUCACUGAAGAAAUCUGGAGCACAGAUGGUCCCAAACAUCACCGUUAGCCCCCUUUCACCAGAUGGUGAUGGAGUGUGGAAACGCUUUGAGUCUCUCUCAGCUAAACACGGACCAUCAGGAAGGAACCGGAUCGUCAUACCGUUCAUCCUCCCAGGACGGGAAUAUGAAAGCAUCCCAUUCUCUGUGGUGACCUUAGCUCUGUCCCUGGUGCUCCUCUCCUCCAGGUUUAAAGCCACUCUUCACUUCGAUGGUUGUCUCGGUGAUCACUCUACUGGACCGAAAUUUGACAGGAAGUAUCUUCAGGAGCAGUACGCCUGCACCAUCGACAACAGCAAGAUGAAAUGUUCACCUGAAGCUUUCAGAUGAUGAUAAAUGCUCCCUGUUUUAGACAUGUUUGUGGACAUUUUAGUGUAAAGAUGAAGAUGAAAUGAUAAAAGUAAUUUUUCUAUACUUGAGGCUCAGAUUUAUGAUGAAUGGACUUGAAUCAUCAUUUAGACAUGUUCCAGCUCAUAAUCUGAUCAUAACCUGCUAACAUCUGUGGAGGUUAUUAAUAUAAACAGACUCACCUGUUCUCUGCUCGCUGCUCACAGGUGACGUGAUGCUGAUGUCAGACCUUCAACCAGCACACACACAGAUCAUUGACAUGAAGUAUAUAGAUUAUUUAUGUACAUUAUGUAUUAUGUAAUAUUUUGAUCUGUUAUUGCUUUAUGUCGGGGUUUUAGAUCCGUACUUGGGUAGAACAAUAAGUUAUGAGCCACAACUUUAACUCAGUCUCUGAACUGUGUCACGUUCCAAACAUAGAAGUAACACAAGUCUACGAGUUGUACAUCUAUAUUUUCAUGCCUACAGACUCGGUAACUAUUUCUAAUCUUUUCUUAUUGUAAAAGCAUUAAAAUGUGAAGAUGAUGUUGUGAAGUGAAGAAGAACAGGAUGAAAACCUGAAGCUGCUCAUUAAAAACAAUAUUGUAUAUAUGAAAUUUAUGGAGGACCACAAGAGCCACGCGCAUCGAAAUAAAGAAUUCUAUGAUUAAAUAAUCAAUUGUAGAAUAAAUUUAGCAUUUGUAAAUUUAUUUUUGAAUUCCAUGUUAAAAAACUGGUUUUUAAAAUGUUUUUUAAAAUGGUGAUUUAAAAGAGCUCUCUGACUGGUAGGACAGACACAGGCUGCCUGGAUUUUUCCUCACUUCUUGUUUGUGCUCAUAGCUUUGCCCUGCUUAGAAGUGUGUGUGCUUGUACAAAGGCCGCUCAGCCUCAGGAUUUAAACUCUGCUCAACACGGAUAUGUGAAGAAUGAAGAACAAAGAGACCCUGCAGCAAAACAGAGAGCUGAACCUGUUUAUUGUUUCAGGUAUAGACGAUGGAGUAUGACCAGUCUGAUGUCAGCCUGCUUCUCUGACAGCGCCUCACCUCUCUGUGCUGCCCCCUGCUGGCUCUCAUCAUUACUGACUGAGUCACUUUCUGACACUUUAUUAGGUACAGCUUGCUAACACAGGCUCAGACCUGCUUUGACUUCAGAGCCGCCUUAAACCUUCAUGGCUCAGAUUCAGCGAGGUGCUGGAAACAUUCCUCAGAGUCAUGUGAUC